CAGAGGCUGAAGAGCCUCCUCCCCCAAAAGCGCCAGAAAGGAAGCUUGCAAACCAGUUCAACUUCAUUGAGAGAGGUUCAACUACAUACCACAAUCCUAUGCGGGAAAGAGGAUUGCAAACUGACCCUGCACCUUUUGAAACUUUCUCAGAAAAUGUUAACCAGUGGUUUAUCUAUGAUGUGUAUAUGGAGGAACUUGAGAGAAUGGAAAAGGCAAAA